rnacentral:rRNA from 1 species
GCAGUCGAACGGUAACAGGAAGAAGCUUGCUUCUUUGCUGACGAGUGGCGGACGGGUGAGUAAUGUCUGGGAAACUGCCUGAUGGAGGGGGAUAACUACUGGAAACGGUAGCUAAUACCGCAUAACGUCGCAAGACCAAAGAGGGGGACCUUCGGGCCUCUUGCCAUCGGAUGUGCCCAGAUGGGAUUAGCUUGUUGGUGGGGUAACGGCUCACCUAGGCGACGAUCCCUAGCUGGUCUGAGAGGAUGACCAGCCACACUGGAACUGAGACACGGUCCAGACUCCUACGGGAGGCAGCAGUGGGGAAUAUUGCACAAUGGGCGCAAGCCUGAUGCAGCCAUGCCGCGUGUAUGAAGAAGGCCUUCGGGUUGUAAAGUACUUUCAGCGGGGAGGAAGGGAGUAAAGUUAAUACCUUUGCUCAUUGACGUUACCCGCAGAAGAAGCACCGGCUAACUCCGUGCCAGCAGCCGCGGUAAUACGGAGGGUGCAAGCGUUAAUCGGAAUUACUGGGCGUAAAGCGCACGCAGGCGGUUUGUUAAGUCAGAUGUGAAAUCCCCGGGCUCAACCUGGGAACUGCAUCUGAUACUGGCAAGCUUGAGU